rnacentral:rRNA from 1 species
UACAGAGGUCCCAAGCGUUGUUCGGAUUCAUUGGGCGUAAAGGGUGCGUAGGCGGCGCGGUAAGUCGGGUGUGAAAUCUCGGGGCUUAACUCCGAAACUGCAUUCGAUACUGCCGUGCUUGAGGACUGGAGAGGAGACUGGAAUUUACGGUGUAGCGGUGAAAUGCGUAGAUAUCGUAAGGAAGACCGGUGGCGAAGGCGGGUCUCUGGACAGUUCCUGACGCUGAGGCACGAAGGCCAGGGGAGCAAACGGG